rnacentral:rRNA from 1 species
AGUGAACGCUGGCGGUAGGCCUAACACAUGCAAGUCGAACGGCAGCACAGUAAGAGCUUGCUCUUACGGGUGGCGAGUGGCGGACGGGUGAGGAAUACAUCGGAAUCUACUUUUUCGUGGGGGAUAACGUAGGGAAACUUACGCUAAUACCGCAUACGACGUACGGGUGAAAGCAGGGGAUCUUCGGACCUUGCGCGAUUGAAUGAGCAGAUGCCGGAUUAGCUAGUUGGCGGGGUAAAGGCCCACCAAGGCGACGAUCCGUAGCUGGUCUGAGAGGAUGGUCGGCCACACUGGAACUGAGACACGGUCCAGACUCCUACGGGGGGCAGCGGUGGGGAAUGUUCGGAAAUGGGGGAAAUCUGCAGCAAGAAAUGCCGCGGGGGGAAAAAAGGCCUCCGGGUGGUAAAACCCUUUUUGUGGGAAAAAAAAUCGGGGGAUGAAACACCCCAGGUUUGGCCGGAACCCAAAAAAAAAGCACCGGCUACCUCGUG